rnacentral:rRNA from 1 species
CCUACGGGAGGCAGCAGUAGGGAAUCUUUCACAAUGGGCGAAAGCCUGAUGGAGCAACGCCGCGUGCAGGAUGAAGGCCUUCGGGUUGUAAACUGCUUUUAUAAGCGAGAAAUAUGAUGGUAACUUAUGAAUAAGGAUCGGCUAACUACGUGCCAGCAGCCGCGGUCAUACGUAGGAUCCGAGCAUUAUCCGGAGUGACUGGGUGUAAAGAGUUGCGUAGGUGGCAUAAUAAGUAGCUAGUGAAAUCUGGUGGCUCAACCAUUCAGACUAUUAGCUAAAAUGUUAAGCUCGAGACCGUUAGGGGUAACUGGAAUUUCUAGUGUAGGAGUGAAAUCCGUAGAUAUUAGAAGGAACACCAAUAGCGUAGGCAGGUUGCUGGGACGGUUCUGACACUAAGGCACGAAAGCGUAGGGAGCAAACGGGAUUAGAUACCCCUGUAGUC